GAUGAACGCCGGCGGCGUGCCUAAUACAUGCAAGUCGAGCGAACAGACGAGGAGCUUGCUCCUCUGACGUUAGCGGCGGACGGGUGAGUAACACGUGGAUAACCUACCUAUAAGACUGGGAUAACUUCGGGAAACCGGAGCUAAUACCGGAUAAUAUAUUGAACCGCAUGGUUCAAUAGUGAAAGACGGUUUUGCUGUCACUUAUAGAUGGAUCCGCGCCGCAUUAGCUAGUUGGUAAGGUAACGGCUUACCAAGGCAACGAUGCGUAGCCGACCUGAGAGGGUGAUCGGCCACACUGGAACUGAGACACGGUCCAGACUCCUACGGGAGGCAGCAGUAGGGAAUCUUCCGCAAUGGGCGAAAGCUUGACGGAGCAACGCCGCGUGAGUGAUGAAGGUCUUCGGAUCGUAAAACUCUGUUAUUAGGGAAGAACACAUGUGUAAGUAACUAUGCACGUCUUGACGGUACCUAAUCAGAAAGCCACGGCUAGCUACGUG
rnacentral:rRNA from 1 species